rnacentral:lncRNA from 1 species
CCCAUUGGGGAGGCCGUGAUGGAUCCCCUCUCCACCCCUUUGGGGGGGCUGUGAUGGAUCCCCUCUCCACCCCAUUGGUGAGGCCAUGAUGGAUCCCCUCUCCACCCCAUUGGUGGGGCCGUGAUGGAUCCCCUCUCCACCCCAUUGGGGGGGCUGUGAUGGAUCCCCUCUCCACCCCAUUGGUGAGGCCGUGAUGGAUCCCCUCUCCACCCAUUGGGGGGGCUGUGAUGGAUCCCUUCUCCAUCCCCAUUGGUGAGGCCGUGAUGGAUCCCCUCCCCACCCCCACCCCCCCCCAAGAACUCCGUGCUGUGUUCCUUUCCCAAGGAAGAGUCCAUUCGUUUCAAAGAGGUUUGCUUUGCUCUUUACCCUCCCGUCGCCGUUCUCUCCUCCCUUUUGGGUUCAUCUGCUGGUUUUUCAGUCCUCGCCAGGAGGGUUUUGGGGGUCUUUUUGGGGGGGGGGGUUGGGGGGUGGGGGGGGGUUUGCUGUUUGCUUUCUGAACCACACAUUGACUUUGGGCAGCGGGCAGAGCGGGGCUGGAGGUGGGGAAGGGGGGGGGGGCCUUUUGGGGUGUUGAUUUUUGUACUCGGAGGGGGGGGCACAGAGUGGGAGCAUCUCUCCCCACAUUCUCCCUCUGCCCCACAGCUCCCGUUCAGGGCAGGGGCUCAGCUGAGCACGCACAACCCCGAGCUGCCCCCAAAGCCGGGGAGCCCACCCAGGACCCCGCUCUAUUAUGGGGCACAGUCCCACCCCCCACCCCCGUCUCUGACUAUGGGGGGUCUGCCCCCCAAAUCCGAGCAGGGGGGAAGCAGGGCCAGAGCCCCCUCCCCCCCCCCCCCGCCCUCCCGUGCUAUGCUGAUACGGGGCCGUCCUGCAGAGGGCUCUCAGCCCCACUGCUGCCCCAUGGGAGGAUUUGCCUUCGUCUUCUGCCCCUCUCACUGCCCGACCUCCCCCCAUCGAUCGGGCUGGGAAAGAAGGACGAGUGGGGAGGGGGGAGCUGAGGGUGGGGGGCACAGUGAUCCCCUCCCCCCCCCACCCCCCGCUGUGGGUUCAGGACCCGAUCCCGUCCCACCGCCGUGGCCGCCUGCCCCGUCUCGCCCGUCAGGGACGUGUGACUUCACAGCAUAGCAAUGUAUCCUUACGCCAAUAAAGGGUUUCUGUGAUUCA